AAAUUGAAGAGUUUGAUCAUGGCUCAGAUUGAACGCUGGCGGCAGGCCUAACACAUGCAAGUCGAACGGUAGCACAGAGAGCUUGCUCUCGGGUGACGAGUGGCGGACGGGUGAGUAAUGUCUGGGAAACUGCCUGAUGGAGGGGGAUAACUACUGGAAACGGUGGCUAAUACCGCAUAACGUCGCAAGACCAAAGAGGGGGACCUUCGGGCCUCUUGCCAUCAGAUGUGCCCAGAUGGGAUUAGCUAGUUGGUGAGGUAACGGCUCACCAAGGCGACGAUCCCUAGCUGGUCUGAGAGGAUGACCAGCCACACUGGAACUGAGACACGGUCCAGACUCCUACGGGAGGCAGCAGUGGGGAAUAUUGCACAAUGGGCGC
rnacentral:rRNA from 1 species